rnacentral:rRNA from 1 species
CACGUAGGGCGCAAGCGUUUGUCCGGAAUUAUUGGGCGUAAAGAGCUCGUAGGCGGUCUGUCGCGUCGGCUGUGAAAACCCGGAGCUCAACUCCGGGCCUGCAGUCGAUACGGGCAAACUGGAGUGUUGCAGGGGGAGACUGGAAUUCCUGGUGUAGCGGUGAAAUGCGCAGAUAUCAGGAAGAACACCAAUGGCGAAGGCAGCUCUCUGGGACGGUACUGACGGCUGAGGCG